rnacentral:rRNA from 1 species
UACGAGGGGGGCAAGUGUUGUUCGGAAUCACUGGGCGUAAAGGGAGCGUAGGCGGGGGCGUACGUGAGAGGUUUAAAGCGGGAGCCCAACUCCCGUGGGGCCUUUCAAACUGCGCCUCUUGAAUCGGGGAGAGGUCGAUGGAAUUGGAGGUGUAGCGGUGGAAUGCGUAGAUAUCUCCAAGAACACCCGUUGCGAAGGCGGUCGACUGGCCCACGAUUGACGCUGAGGCUCGAAAGCAUGGGGAGCAAACAGG